rnacentral:rRNA from 1 species
UACGAAGGGGGCGAGCGUUGUUCGGAUUUACUGGGCGUAAAGGGCGCGUAGGCGGCCCUCCUAGUCGCGUGUGAAGGCCCCGGGCUCAACCUGGGAAUUGCGCGCGAAACGGGGGGGCUUGAGUUCGGGAGAGGAGCGUGGAAUUCCCAGUGUAGAGGUGAAAUUCGUAGAUAUUGGGAAGAACACCGGUGGCGAAGGCGGCGCUCUGGACCGAGACUGACGCUGAGGCGCGAAAGCGUGGGGAGCAAACAGG